AGUGAACGCUGGCGGUAGGCCUAACACAUGCAAGUCGAACGGCAGCACAGUAAGAGCUUGCCCUUACGGGUGGCGAGUGGCGGACGGGUGAGGAAUACAUCGGAAUCUACUUUUUCGUGGGGGAUAACGUAGGGAAACUUACGCUAAUACCGCAUACCACCUACGGGUGAAAGCAGGGGAUCUUCGGACCUUGCGCGAUUGAAUGAGCCGAUGUCGGAUUAGCUAGUUGGCGGGGUAAAGGCCCACCAAGGCGACGAUCCGUAGCUGGUCUGAGAGGAUGAUCAGCCACACUGGAACUGAGACACGGUCCAGACUCCUACGGGAGGCAGCAGUGGGGAAUAUUGGACAAUGGGCGCAAGCCUGAUCCAGCCAUACCGCGUGGGUGAAGAAGGCCUUCGGGUUGUAAAGCCCUUUUGUUGGGAAAGAAAAGCAGCAGGUUAAUACCCCGCUGUUCUGACGGUACCCAAAGAAUAAGCACCGGCUAACUUCGUG
rnacentral:rRNA from 1 species